rnacentral:lncRNA from 1 species
UAAUAGGGAGACAAAACUAUACAGUUCAACAAGGACUUGUAUACCUACCUGUGGAUUGGGUUUUUUUUUCAUGAAAUGAGCAGAAGUGUCCAUGACUAUGAAGAUGAUUUAAUUACUACAACACAAUCAUCACAGAGAUAAGAGAGUGUGGAGGCUGAAGACAAGUUAAAUGAUUUAGCAAGGAACUGGAAGAGUAUCUGAAGACAAAAUUUAAGCAUUCUGUUCUACCCUUUGCAUUCAGACACAGGGGCUUGUUUGAGUUAGAGUAAGAUCACUGGUUAGAGAAGAGCAG